AACGAACGCUGGCGGCAGGCUUAACACAUGCAAGUCGAACGCAUCGCAAGAUGAGUGGCAGACGGGUGAGGAACACGUGGGAACAUCCCUUUCAGUUCGGAAUAACUCAGGGAAACUUGAGCUAAUACCGGAUACGUCCGUGAGGAGAAAGAUUUAUCGCUGAAAGAUUGGCCCGCGUCUGAUUAGCUAGUUGGAGAGGUAAUGGCUCACCAAGGCUACGAUCAGUAGCUGAUCUGAGAGGAUGAUCAGCCACAUUGGGACUGAGAAACGGCCCAAACUCCUACGGGAGGCAGCAGUGGGGAAUAUUGGACAAUGGGCGCAAGCCUGAUCCAGCCAUGCCGCGUGAGUGAUGAAGGCCUUCGGGUUGUAAGGCUCUUUUGUCCGGGAAGAUAAUGACUGUACCGGAAGAAUAAGCCCCGGCAAACUUCGUGCCAGCCGCCGCAGUAA
rnacentral:rRNA from 1 species